UUGCUACUUCCUCCGUCCAACAAAAGAUGUCUCAAGUUUGUCAAAAUUUGGAGGCAUCUAGACAUGACUUAGUGUAUAGAUGCAUUCAAAUUUGGUCAAAGUUGAGACAUCCUUUGCUGGACGGAGGGAGUACUUA
rfam:Brachypodium distachyon strain Bd21 chromosome 1, whole genome shotgun sequence.